AAAUUGAAGAGUUUGAUCAUGGCUCAGAUUGAACGCUGGCGGCAGGCCUAACACAUGCAAGUCGAACGGUAACAGGAAGCAGCUUGCUGCUUUGCUGACGAGUGGCGGACGGGUGAGUAAUGUCUGGGAAACUGCCUGAUGGAGGGGGAUAACUACUGGAAACGGUGGCUAAUACCGCAUAACGUCGCAAGACCAAAGAGGGGGACCUUCGGGCCUCUUGCCAUCAGAUGUGCCCAGAUGGGAUUAGCUUGUUGGUGAGGUAACGGCUCACCAAGGCGACGAUCCCUAGCUGGUCUGAGAGGAUGACCAGCCACACUGGAACUGAGACACGGUCCAGACUCCUACGGGAGGCAGCAGUGGGGAAUAUUGCACAAUGGGCGCAAGCCUGAUGCAGCCAUGCCGCGUGUAUGAAGAAGGCCUUCGGGUUGUAAAGUACUUUCAGCGGGGAGGAAGGUGUUGUGGUUAAUAACCGCAGCAAUUGACGUUACCCGCAGAAGAAGCACCGGCUAACUCCGUGCCAGCAGCCGCGGUAAUACGGAGGGUGCAAGCGUUAAUCGGAAUUACUGGGCGUAAAGCGCACGCAGGCGGUCUGUCAAGUCGGAUGUGAAAUCCCCGGGCUCAACCUGGGAACUGCAUUCGAAACUGGCAGGCUUGAGUCUUGUAGAGGGGGGUAGAAUUCCAGGUGUAGCGGUGAAAUGCGUAGAGAUCUGGAGGAAUACCGGUGGCGAAGGCGGCCCCCUGGACAAAGACUGACGCUCAGGUGCGAAAGCGUGGGGAGCAAACAGGAUUAGAUACCACGGUAGUCCACGCCGUAAACGAUGUCUACUUGGAGGUUGUGCCCUUGAGGCGUGGCUUCCGGAGCUAACGCGUUAAGUAGACCGCACGGGGAGUACGGCCGCAAGGUUAAAACUCAAAUGAAUUGACGGGGGCCCGCACAAGCGGUGGAGCAUGUGGUUUAAUUCGAUGCAACGCGAAGAACCUUACCUGGUCUUGACAUCCACAGAACUUUCCAGAGAUGGAUUGGUGCCUUCGGGAACUGUGAGACAGGUGCUGCAUGGCUGUCGUCAGCUCGUGUUGUGAAAUGUUGGGUUAAGUCCCGCAACGAGCGCAACCCUUAUCCUUUGUUGCCAGCGAUUAGGUCGGGAACUCAAAGGAGACUGCCAGUGAUAAACUGGAGGAAGGUGGGGAUGACGUCAAGUCAUCAUGGCCCUUACGACCAGGGCUACACACGUGCUACAAUGGCGCAUACAAAGAGAAGCGACCUCGCGAGAGCAAGCGGACCUCAUAAAGUGCGUCGUAGUCCGGAUUGGAGUCUGCAACUCGACUCCAUGAAGUCGGAAUCGCUAGUAAUCGUGGAUCAGAAUGCCACGGUGAAUACGUUCCCGGGCCUUGUACACACCGCCCGUCACACCAUGGGAGUGGGUUGCAAAAGAAGUAGGUAGCUUAACCUUCGGGAGGGCGCUUACCACUUUGUGAUUCAUGACUGGGGUGAAGUCGUAACAAGGUAACCGUAGGGGAACCUGCGGUUGGAUCACCUCCUUACCUUAAAGAA
rnacentral:rRNA from 1 species